rnacentral:lncRNA from 1 species
GAUCCACAGGGAGGCGAUUGGAGUUACAUAAAAAUUAGAACAUUCACUCGGAUUCAAAAUCGACUUUUGAACGAUGGAAGAAAAACAUUAUUUUGAGGAUGUUGAUGGAUUCUCUAGUCUACCGGAGAAUGUUUUUUUAUUGAAAUUAACUAAAAGAUAGGUAUUUAAAUUCAAAAAGCAUUUAUUUAAUUAAUCAAAGAAGAGUUUUGGCAUAAAUUAAAAUGGAUAAAAUAAGAAGAUUGAAGCGAACACAAAUUGCAUAAAGGAAGAUUUAAUUGUAUUGCAUAACAAAGAAGAAAGAUUACAGAAUUUGGAGAACGGAAAUUAAAAAUAAUAGAAAUUAAAAACUUUAGCAUAAAUAGAUCUCUCUAUUAAACUAAAACUAAAAAUUCCAAGACAACAUGCUCUCAAAAUAAAACUCUUACUAAAAACGUUGCUCUCAAUCAAAAUAAAAAUAAAUAAAUAAGAACAACAUGAUACCCAAAACAGAAUGAUUAAACACCAAUUA